UAAUGGCCCUAUCUUCAGCAAACAUUUUCGAGGAACUAUGUAAUUAUUUGAUCAAGCUUGUGACUUGUUAGACUGGGACAGGUGAAUGCAAAGAUGAAUAAGUCACAAGCUUGAUCAAAUAAUCUCACUGCUAUGCUGUUCUGCUGUUGGGGGAGCCCAGCAGCAGGGAAGAGAAAAUCUGAAGAGUUGGGGAGGGUUGUUGGAGAUGGUCCUGAGGGGUGAGUAAGAGUUCGCUAGUGGAAGAGCAUCCAGGCAGAGGAAACAGCCUAUGCAAAGACUCCUGGCAGGGUCGGGCAGGCCUGUUAGGUAUGAAGGGCCAAACUGGCCCCAGGGAUACCUGAAACUAAAUCUGGUAGCAAAGUGACAUCCAGAAGACUGAUCUGCCUUUGAUGCUGUCAACAAUAUAUGCAGCAACUAAGCCAUUCUUGUGUUCAAUGAAUAUUGACCAAGUACCUAUUAUGUUUUAUUCUAACUACCAGAGAUAGAGCCCUAAAAUCCCAGCCUUCCCGGUGCUUCCCCAGGACCUUUGCUUCCCCUCUCACAGGGUCCAUUCCCUGGAAUCUCCUUGGCACCUCCCUCCUGAACUGUGGCUCUGCCUCUAGGACCUUGGUAAAAUAGACCCUGGGUUUCUGGAUUUACAAAGUCUUCAACGGUGGUGCAGAAUGCAGCAAGGAGAAAUGACCUUCCUCUGGACACCAACAAAGAGAUCUGACGGCCAGCGAGAUAGUACUUGCUCUGUUCCUAGAAAUAAACUAAGGGGUAAAUAGCAAUAAUGAUAAUAACGAUAAUGAUGGACCUUGCUGGUCCAGGUAGGGAGGCACUCAGGUGCCAUCAUUCCUUCAUGCAAUAUAGAUAUUUAUGAAGCACCCGCUCUGCCAGGCUACUGUUCUAGGCACUUGGGAUACAUCAGCUCAUUAAAAAGUGCUGGCAAGGUAACUUGUCAGAGUAAGCUAGCACCAUUCAAAUUUUAAUAAAAGGAAUGAUUUCCCAAACUACCUUGGUGGCCACAUUAUAUGAUGAUGUGUUUUAAAGGGGUGCAGAAGGAGGAGGCUUGUUACACCAUCUUCCCCUAAGAUUCCCUUCAUCUACAACAAUUUUACUCCUACAGUCGUCCCUAGGGAACCUUGAAUUAGUUCCAGGACCGCCACUCUCCCCGCCUCAGAUACCAACAACCACAGACGCUUAACUCCCUGAUAUAAAAUGGUGUAGUAUUUGCAUGUAGCCUACACACAUCCUCCAAUAUACUUUAUUUUAUUUAUAUAUUUUUUUUUAUUUUUUAUUUUGGAGUCAGAGUCUCGCUCUGUCACCCAGGCUGGAGUGCAGUGGCAUGAUCUCAGCUCACUGCAACCUCUGCGUCCUGGGUUCAAGUGACUCUCCUGCCUCAGCUUCCCAAGUGGCUGGGACUAUGGGCACCAGCCACCAAGCCUGGCUAAUUUUUGUGUUUUUAGUGGAGACAGGGGUUCAACAUGUUGGCCAGGCUGGUCUCGAACUCCUGACCUCAGGUGAUCUGCCCACCUCGGCCUCCCAAACUGCUGGGAUUACAGGUGUGAGCCACCGUACCCAGCCAAUAUCCUCCCAUAUACUUUAAAUCAUCUCGACAUUACUUACAAUCCUUAAUACAAUGUAAUUGCUCUGUAAAUCGUUGUCAGACUGCAUUGUUCAGAGAAUAAUGACAACAAAAAGUUUGUACAUGCUCACCCAGAACAGUACAGAAACAAACAAUAUUAGUUCAGAAACAAUAUUUUUGAAUUGAAGUUGGUAGAACCCACAGAUACAGAGGGCCGGCUAUCUUAUUUGAGAUUUGGGAUUAGUUAUAUGCCUGCAAGCUCAUGGCAGCAAACUGGCUGAAGAGUGGCAUGGCUUAGGCCCCAUUCUGUGCCCAUGAGAUCCUUCCCUCAUCUCCCUGUGCUCAGCACUGGCUUCUCACCAUGGGUAGCAAAAGGACCUCCAGGAUGGCGCUAGAGGAAGCGCCCCUCAGACAACCUUCCCUCACAUCCCCCAUACAGGGAGCAACAGGCAGAUGGGGCCAUUGGCACACCUCAGGCUGAGCUCUGGCAGGGCCCUGCCAACCUGGGGAAACCAACAAACAAACCAGGCAUGUGUGUGCCUGCCUGGCAGCUCCCUCUCACCUGGAUUUGCAAUCAAGGUUAAUCAAACUUAGUAUCUGGUUUCUCUUUAUCUGAUUAUAGAAUCUUACAUGGCAAAGGAGAGCUCUUUUGAAAUCCACUCCUCCCUCCCAAUUUGACAGAGGUCAACCAGUUCUAGAAGGUUUCCGGGCUCACCCCAAGUCCUCAGUGAGGGAGACCUGUGAGACGUAGGCCAUCGAGGAUGGUGAACCAAUUUUCAUGGUCUUAGUUUCACAACAUACCAUGGCCAAUGGUGGGUCAUCUCUUAAUUUAAA
rnacentral:lncRNA from 1 species